AAUUGCAAUUUAUUCUUGCUUUUCUGUUUGACAAGGUUCUUUAUCAGAUGUUCUGGGUGAGGAAAUGAAAACCAGCAUCCUGACAACCCGGGGAUGUUGUUUCAGUUUUGUUUCAUAUUUGUUUUCUUAGGAAGGAAAUACAAGGUUAGGGAUAUGAGCCUUGGCUCUUGUUGUAGUUUCCUAUUUUUUUGUCUGUGUGAUCUGUGUGGCCUGCACUGCUGUGAGGGAUGAGCCCACACCUUGGGGCUGCCCAUUCAGGGUGAGAGGGCCACUCAAGCUGCUGCAAAGUGCCACUCAGGGAUCUGGGGGGGACCAGCCAUGCUGUGUUUGCUCUCAGAAGUGCUGUCUGUGUCACUGACCCCGUUUGUCUGAUGUGUGUUCACUGUUCCCCAGGAAUACCUAAGUACCACACUUGCAGCCCUGCGCUCUAACCAGAUCCUUACGCUGAAGGGUGAACAAGGACAAGCGGGGAUCCAAGGUCCCCCAGGGCCCCCUGGUCCGCCAGGGCCCGCUGGACCAGCCGGACCCGAAGGAAUCCCAGGACGUCCUGGGCCAAUUGGACCCCCUGGCAGAGCAGGAGAACCUGGAAAACCUGGCAGAGAUGGAAAGGGCUUACCUGGGCCUCCUGGACCAAAGGUGAGACAUCUCACCUCACUUAAGAGCUGUAGAAAGAUGAUGAGCAGAGAUGGACUCUCUUGACCAGGACAGAUGUGUACAUUUUGAUGGAUGGAGGAGGGGGAAAAGAAGUUACAUCAAAUAGCUGAGAAAGAUUCCUGACCCAGCUCAGCAUUGCCUCUGGGGCCCAGCCCCUGUGCUGACUCAUAGGUUUUGUCCAGGCCACACGUCUGAGCUGCAUCUCCACUGAGCCAGGCACGCCUCAUCAGCCCAUCUUGCAAAAUUGUUUGCCACACACAGCUUUAUUGGCUCCUGCCAUUCUCAAAGCAUUUCCCAGUGCUUCAGGAAUGGAUUUUGCAAUGCUAUUGUUAACUCUGCCACAGUUU
rnacentral:lncRNA from 1 species